rnacentral:rRNA from 1 species
AACGAACGCUGGCGGCAGGCUUAACACAUGCAAGUCGAACGGGUGUAGCAAUACAUCAGUGGCAGACGGGUGAGUAACACGUGGGAACCUUCCUAGGGGUACGGAACAACUCAGGGAAACUUGAGCUAAUACCGUAUACGUCCGUGAGGAGAAAGAUUCAUCGCCCUUAGACGGGCCCGCGUCGGAUUAGCUAGUUGGUGGGGUAACGGCCUACCAAGGCGACGAUCCGUAGCUGAUCUUAGAGGAUGAUCAGCCACACUGGGACUGAGACACGGCCCAGACUCCUACGGGAGGCAGCAGUGGGGAAUCUUGGACGAUGGGCGCAAGCCUGAUCCAGCCAUGCCGCGUGAGUGAAGAAGGUCUUCGGAUUGUAAAGCUCUUUUGCCAGGGACGAUAAUGACGGUACCUGGAGAAUAAGCCCCGACAAACUUCGUGCCAGCAGCCGCAGUAA